UUAAUGAUAGAGGAAAGUCACCAAAUAUGGAAUAGUAUCCUAAUAUGGAAUUCCUUCUUUUCUCUAAGACUAUAAGUAUGAAUCACAACAUUCGUCCAUCUUCUGUUUCAUUUGGUGUACUAAAUGUUGCACUAACACCAUCGAGUUAGUUGCGCGAACGGUUUACAUGUAGCAGGCGUGUUUUGUUUUGCUGCCGUGCAGAAAUUUUUUAAGUAUCAUACAUGCAUCAGCAGAGUCAGGAGGUUCUGUUCAAGACUUCUUUCCAUGGAUGAAUGUGGAGAAAGUUGAAUUAAAUGCUUGAUGUAUGGGCUCUGAACACAUUAUGAUGUGCUGUUCCAGAUGGAUCUGGAUUUGUGACUUUUGCAAGUAAUUACAUAACUUCUUUCAUUUAUCACAAUAUGUUAUAUUCAUUUAAUUGAUCUCAAAGAUAUUCAUUACAUUUUUGUCAUUGUUAUGUAGAUUUUUGCUUAUAUUCCAUAUAUGGGUACCUAUUCCAUAUUUGGUUACUCUUUUGUGAUUUUGUUUUUUGUGUAAGAUUUUAAUUUGAUUACUGAUAUAUUUGGUUAAAGGCUGUUAAUUACUACUUAUAGAUGUAUGACUGAUCAGUAAAAACAAUAAACUGAUUUAAUUUA